AGAGUUUGAUCCUGGCUCAGGAUGAACGCUGGCGGCGUGCCUAAUACAUGCAAGUCGAGCGAACCACUUCGGUGGUGAGCGGCGAACGGGUGAGUAACACGUAGGUGAUCUGCCCAUCAGACGGGGACAACGAUUGGAAACGAUCGCUAAUACCGGAUAGGACGAAAGUUUAAAGGUGCUCCUGGCACCGCUGAUGGAUGAGCCUGCGGCGCAUUAGCUAGUUGGUAGGGUAAAGGCCUACCAAGGCGACGAUGCGUAGCCGACCUGAGAGGGUGAACGGCCACACUGGGACUGAGACACGGCCCAGACUCCUACGGGAGGCAGCA
rnacentral:rRNA from 1 species